rnacentral:tRNA from 1 species
GAGGGCCAUGGGCUUGUGAGGGGACUUCUAAUCCCUUAGCGGGCAGAUCGUCUCUGUCCGGCCCUUU